GAAACUGGAACCCACUACUUCUUUGGCUCCACAAACGUCACCUUGCCCUUAUCCUUAUCAGUCUUAGUAAUAGGGGGCCGAACAGGGGGGUGCACAACAACUGCAGGAGGAGGAGGAGGAACCGUAGUACACUGAUCAUAAGAAUGACCCAAGUGUUUACAAGAGAAGCAAAAAAUUGGCCGCUUCUCAUAGAUAACUGUCUGCCAGAAGCCACGGUUACCAGCACGCUCAAUCCAAAC
rnacentral:lncRNA from 1 species